rnacentral:rRNA from 1 species
UACGAGGGGGGCGAGCGUUGUUCGGAAUUAUUGGGCGUAAAGGGUGCGUAGGCGGUUUGGUAAGUCUGAUGUGAAAUCUAUGGGCUCAACUCAUAGUCUGCAUCGGAAACUGCCGGGCUUGAGUAUGGGAGAGGUGAGUGGAAUUCCUGGUGUAGCGGUGAAAUGCGUAGAUAUCAGGAGGAACACCUGUGGCGAAAGCGGCUCACUGGACCAUAACUGACGCUGAUGCACGAAAGCUAGGGGAGCAAACAGGAUCUAGACGAC